ensembl:lncRNA
CCGGCAGCGAAAAUAACCCGGGAGAAGCCCGGCCUUGAACGCUAAUCCCGCUGCCGGCGUCCGCGCGGGGGUAACGUCGUUCCGCGGGGGCUAAUCCCGCUCGCACGGCGGGCCGCGUUCCCCCGCGCUGCCGGCACGAGUGAUGCUGAUGGGAGGUGGCACACAGGUGGCCCCUGCAGCGGGGCUGUGACAGGGCCCGUGCUGCCCGCAUGAAAGGCUCUGGAAAGCGUUCUGUAGAGCUUGUCCUGCCCCUGAGCGCUGUCGGUGCUCAGCGCAGCGGCAGAGCGAACUAGAACUCUUCGCUUUCGUUAUUAUUGUCUUUAUUAUUAUGAUUCCUCCUCUUUGCUAUAUUCAGGCCUUUUGUUCUCACCCAGGUAAGGGCUAGGGCGUGAUGGCUAACUCUUUGGAGCUGGCGCUGUAAGAAUAAUAGGUCUACCUAGAAAACAUGCAGGAGUGAUAUCAAGUGGUGACCCAAGAGAUGAAGAUGGAGGCAGUUUCAGUGUAGCACUGUGGCAAGUCCCAGCAAGCUCAAUGCAACGCCAAGAUUAGUCGUGUUUCAGAGUUUGGGUUUGAAAAAAAAAACAGGAAAAAAAAAAACCUUCCAAAUAUCAUCUCAAUUAAAAUAUAUGUAUACAUGUAUUUCCAUUAAAUGCUUCCACAUUCAUAUAAGGUAAACUUGCCUCUUUGAUGACUAAAUUAUUUUAGGAAGAAAAUAUGUUCUGAUUGUCAUCUUCAGGGCAUUUUCAGUGACGUUUUAUGGCAGUCGUUUAAAAUAAAAUUCUUAGUCAUUCAGCAUUUUAACUGAAAGCUACGUGUUAUGCAAGCAGUUUGUCAAACCCAUUGAGCUACCUGCCUAGUAGUAACGCAGCAAUAAAUAAUGAUAGCAUUUAAGGCUGUUUUCAUCAUUAGUGCUGUCAGAUCUGAUUGAAAUAUUAUGAAUGUUAAGGUUAAAUAUAUGAAGGCAAUAAAUAUUGAUAUGAAGCGUGCUCAAGAGAGUUGUGUUUCCCAAGUGGAUCUGGGGGCAGACUUGUUAUGAUGAUGGCUACUGCCAGCUCAUUGCAUGGCAACAGUUGGAGGGUGGUGUUUGCAGAGCUGGGAGCCAGACAGGAGAUUCUGUGCUGUGGUGGAGUUGAACACAUGCAAUAGAAGAGACACCCUCUGAGCCAGGACCUCCCUCAGCACCCACCAGCUGAAGAUAACUGGGGGAAAGUGAAAGCUAUAUUGUGCUUUGCUAUCUUUGUGUUCACUUGAAUGCGUGCCCUCACUUCUUCUGUCUGAACCACUUGAACCCAUCAGUCACUGAGGGCGUGCAGGAGUGGAUCAUGCCACCAUGUGGUGCUUUAUCAAGGACCAGAUCUAUG